GUUCUACCUUGACGAAUUGUAGUUUAAAGAAGUGUUUUCUGUUAGAGGAGUAGCAAAAGUUCCUUGGAAUGGGACAUCAUAGAGGGUGAGAAUCCCGUAUUUGGUUAUUCUUUCUAGCUUUGUGAUACACUUUCAAAGAGUCGGAUUGUUUGGGAAUGCAGUCCAAAAUGGGUGGCAAAUUUCAUCUAAAGCUAAAUAUUGGCGAGAGACCGAUAGCGAACAAGUACCGUGAGGGAAAGAUGAAAAGAACUUUGAAAAGAGAGUUAAACAGUACGUGAAAUUGUCAAAAGGGAAGCGUUUGACACCAGUGUUGUUUUUCCGAAAAUCAAUUAAGAACGGCUUGAUUUUGUGUUGUAUUGACCUUAUCAGCUUUCUUCACUCUUUUUCGAGUCUUUCUU
rnacentral:rRNA from 1 species